CAAUUUUUAUCAAGAUCAAAAGGGUGGGCCAUCAAUAAUUAUGCCUAAUUUGGGGGGGGGGGGUUAUAAAAAAAUAUGUUUUAAAAAUUUGAAUUCCCCCCCCCCCCCUUGCAUGUACUUUAUGACCAGUCCCUAAAGAAGACUUACGAAACGGUUUUAAUACACGUGCUCGUCGCGAUUUGGAUUUAAAAGAUAAGAUUUUGUUAAAUUAUUUGGCGUCAGGGGACAAACAGUUGAUAAAUUGCGGGAAUGAGAUUUGUCUGUAAUUAGCCCGAUUAAACCGAGCAUUAUAAUCCUCGAAGUUCGAACUAAUAAUCUUUCUGCACAAUACCCGUCCACUACACGGUAGGCUAAGUUAAAAAGGGCUGAAAUGACCCAAAAAAUGGGGCCAAAACGGUAACCGCAAAAUAAAUCUUUUUGGGGGUCAAAAUGGCAACCUAUAACAAUUGAAAGUUCAUGGCACGGUAUUAAAGGCAAACAUGAUGCUCGGCUUCAUCCGACGAUCAGCCUCUGACAUCAACAACAUCCAAGUCCGCAAGAUUCUUUUCCUGUCUUUGGUUAGAAGCAAAUUGGGGUAUGCCAGUCAAGUGUGGGCACCCCAAACAGUAACUAACAUCGCUACAAUGGAACGCGUCCAACGUCGUGCCACCAAUUCCAUCCUUUCCCUCCCUUAUAGAUCAGACGUUUUGUACAAAGACCGACUCAAGUCUAUCGGUAUUCUUCCCAUCUGCUAUUGGCUCAAGUUUCUAGAUUUAGUUUAUCUCUACAACUGUGUUGUUAAUGACUCUGAUUCAAACAUCUCAAUACGGGUUUCUAAUCGUAGAACCAGAAACUCCAAUUCCGACAAUGGUAUUCUACUAAAUCUACCUAAAUCCAAGACUGUUAGCUUUCAAAACAGUUUUUACGUAAGAGCACCCAGCGUUUGGAACAUUCUACCCGAUAUCCUCACAGACACUUCAAGAUCUACAGCUUCCUUUAAAAGUUUACUAUUUAGAUACUACUUUAACCUUCUCGAACACGUGUACAACCCAGACAAUCCUAGAACCUUUAAAUCGGUGUGCGUCAAAUGCCACUCUACUCGUUCUAUUCAAAAUUUAUCUUUCAGAUCAUGUUGUUGACAGUUUGGCGAAAGCUAAUUAAUGUUUUUGUGCAUGUAUAGUAAUUUGUCUUUUUGUCGGGACCCCGUUAUUGGAGUUUAUCUCUGUGGUCAGUCCCAGCCAAUGCACUCGUAGAUAUUUGAAUAAGUUUAAUAUUUGUUUGGUGCGGCGAAUCUUGUAAAAUAAAAUAAAAUAAAAUAAAAUAAAAUAAAAUAAAAUAAAAUAAGGGGUGAUUUGCCCUAAGGGGUAAUUUGGCCCUUCCAGUGUAAGGGCUGUUUCAGCUUUUAGUAGGAGCUGCUUUGGCAAAAGCAGGUCCAUUCUUGGUCAUCAAUUUACGACAUUAGCCCUGGAAAUACGUGCAGUUUUGACGGCUGUCACGUGGUACGAAAUGUAAACAUUGCGGCCAUGAGGGUAAAUUGUAUUUUAUAAGACACGAUGUAAGAAGACAAUUAUUUCGGGAUUUUCCAAACCGUUUAGUACGUUUAUUGUUGUUCUUUUGUAUGAGACUAAAUCUCAGCAUGUUUCAGGAUUGUAUUAAGAAGUUUAGAAAUAUGAAUGUGGCGUCAAUAAAUAAUUACCUCGAAGAACGAGGAGUUACUGUGAAUGGCUAUUUAAAACCAGCUUUAGUACGUUACUAUUGCUGCUGCAUGCGGUUGAAAAAAUGAUGUUGCCUCUUGACACAAACUAUGAAAGGGAUAACAAUGAAAAAAUGUACGUCAACGUUUAUUUAUUCAUUAUUAUUAUUAUUAAUCAUCUUUAUACAGGUUAACUUGUUCAGCUAUUACAAUAAAUGUUGUUAUCCUACAAGGACCUGUAUCUAGCUACAAUAAUGAAUUAUGAUAUUUUCUAUUAAAUGUAAAAGAGAUCUAGGUUAAAAUAGAUAAAAACUACUGACUAAGAAUAGUUUACUUAAAAAACAC